rnacentral:rRNA from 14 species
UAAGGUAGCGAAAUUCCUUGUCGGGUAAGUUCCGACCCGCACGAAAGGUGUAACGAUUUGGGCGCUGUCUCAACAAAGGAUCCGGUGAAAUUGUAGUAGUCGUGAAGAUGCGACUUACCCACGGUAGGACGGAAAGACCCCGUGGAGCUUUACUGUAGCCUGAUAUUGAAAUUCGGCACAGCUUGUACAGGAUAGGUAGGAGCCUUUGAAACGUGAGCGCUAGCUUACGUGGAGGCGUUGGUGGGAUACUACCCUAGCUGUGUUGGCUUUCUAACCCGCACCACUUAUCGUGGUGGGAGACAGUGUCAG